CAAUAGCGUAUAUUAAAGUUGUUGCGGUAAAAAAGCUCGUAGUUGGAUUUCUGUUGAGAGCGACCGGUCCAUACCAUGUAUGCGUAUCUGGCUUGCUCUCGGCAUCCUCUCGAUAGACGUUACUGCGCUUGAUUGCGUGGUGCGGAUCUCGGGACUUUUACUUUGAGGAAAUUAGAGUGUUCACGGCAGGCUUUCGCCAGAAUACAUUAGCAUGGAAUAAUACUAUAGGAUCUUGGUUCUAUUUUGUUGGUUUCUAGAAUUGAGAUAAUGAUUAAUAGGGACAAUUGGGGGCAUUCGUAUCAACACGUCAGAGGUGGAAUUCUUGGAUUGUGUUGCGACGAACUACCGCGAAAGCAUUUGCCAAGGAUGUUUUCAUUGA
rnacentral:rRNA from 1 species